rnacentral:lncRNA from 1 species
AUUUGAACCCAGGUCCUCUGACUGCAAAGCUUUCCACUAUGUGUCACACUGCUGCCUGUUCACUUACCCAUCUGUGUGCAUCCCAAUUUUUUUUUUUUCUCCAGGAUAUGCAAGGCAUUGCAGAGGCAUCCGAAACAAUAGUGCAGUGCAUCCUCAGGCUGCUGGUAUGAGGGGGAGCCAGGCAGUACAGGGAAAAGAGAGGGUGCUGACUCUGGUGGUCCUGGGGAGCCAGUCCAGAGCCUUGGUCUACUCCUGGACCGAACCGCCACCCCCACCCCUCUCUUUCCCAGAUUUUUUGCAGCGUUCCCAGGACGCCUCCAGGUGGCGCGCUGCUGUCCCGUCCUUCCAGCCCGGGUCUCAGUCACUAUUUGAGUGAUGGGGAGGGCGAGCUUCUCUAGAGAUGGAACCUGGAGCGGUCAAAGCAUCCUGGGCAGCGGGGUGGAGGCGGGGAGCAGUGCAGGGGUUGGGACGCCUCCCAGGACACCUGGUGCUUCCAGGGAUGGAGGAGCUGGAUCGGGCAGCGCUGGGAUCAGGGAUUCCUUGGGAGCAUUCAAAGCAGCGUGGAUCUGGUCCAGUCCCUCGAUCUCAUAGGAGCGGAAAGGAGGAAGGACCUCGUGGAUGGAGCGGAGCCGGGGCUGGCUCAGUGGAAAUGGAAUGGCAUUGUCUUCCUGAGUUCCAAAGCCAUCACCAAUCCAAUUCCAGAGUACUGCAGUGGUAAUUGAAAGCUAGAGGAUGUUGCUUCAGCAGAAUCGAAGAUGGAGAUUGAAAGGAGAAAACGUCAAAAUGCAGCAAAACUUAAAGCACUUCCUUUCCAAAUUCUGGACAGAUUGAACAUUGUCACUGUCUAACCAGUGGAGAUGUUCCAAAGGAUGCAGAGACUGAAGAAAGCCCUUCAAAUGAUGCUCUGCUUUUUUAAAAAAAAUCACCAAAAUCAAAAGAACUAGUGUGUGUUUCACAUUUUUAUCAUCAGAAGUUUUUAGACUCAUUUAUAUUCUUGGGUAAUUCAAGGGUCCAUAUCACUGGGUAGCUUAUAAAAUUAGUCAUAAUGCACAAAUUUGGCUCUGUGUGAGAUAGGUUUUAUAAGCUUGCCUGGGACACUAUGUGCAGCAUGUCUGAGCCCAGAAUGGAGCCCAAGAGGAUAACAUUUCAACAUAGUUUUCAGAGUAACUGGGUUUGAAACUCUUGUAAUAGUUUAUAGGACUUGUUUG